AUUGCAGGGACUGCUGGAGGUGAGGAAUGUUAAAGCACACGUAUGCUGGUCACUGACCUCGCAGGAGUUCAAAGCCCAACCACGCCGCCGAAUGUCCUGCAUACAUUUGCAUGUUUAGCGGACCUCGCUCCCCAAACCAGGACAUCCUCGCUACCUUCAACCACCCAGCUAGAUUUCUACCCGCAAACGGAAGCCUUAAUGGCUAAUUUAUGGCCACGAAGUUGGGGCUAACCGCAGGCGCCAAAGGGGUUGGCUGCCAGAAGCGUUCCCGUUGUCCUGUAGGACCUGGAAACCAGUGGCGACUAGACCAAAGUCUGCGAUCUUGAGAUGAACGUUUGAGUGGCAAUAGAUCUUGAUUCCACAUUCGAUGGCUUCUUCGCGUUUAAAUGGACUUGCAGCAGUCGUUGCUGUUGAAGUAGAAACUAGCGCUUUGUUGAUUCUAAAAUUGAAAUGGGCGUUGUGUCUGGCAAGUUUUCAAUUGUUUAUAGAGUGCCUCGAAUAGCCGCAACGCCGGGAACCGUGUUUACCGAAAUUUAACAAAGCUUAGCUAGCCCAAGGGAACACGCACUACCUGAAGGAGGUGGAGGUGGGAGUGGAGGAGGAGGCAUGGGUUCAAGAAGGUGGCCACUUGCUGUAUAUAGGUUAAUUGGUUGCCCAUUGAAUUGCACGAACGGGUCCUUCGCAGGUGCGGAAUGCGGUUCCGAAGUGGCCGACAGGAAGAGCUCCAAGGAAAUGUGCACGAUGUGGGUCAACGACCAGGACGACUGAUUAAUUGCGGCGUUAGCCUGAUCGGCAAGUUCUUAGCCACCACUUUCGUUAGUUUAAUUCGACAUGCUGGCUAUAUGGUUUCCCAUUAUGGUAGAACUAACUAAUUUCUAGCACCCUAGUUUCUAGGGGUUUUCACUCAAGGAAAGACCAUUAGUAUAUAUCAGAGGGAUAAAGUUCUUACCGGAU
rnacentral:sRNA from 1 species